CAUUCACGGAGAGUUUGAUCCUGGCUCAGGACGAACGCUGGCGGCGUGCUUAACACAUGCAAGUCGAACGAUGAACCACUUCGGUGGGGAUUAGUGGCGAACGGGUGAGUAACACGUGGGCAAUCUGCCCUGCAC
rnacentral:rRNA from 1 species